GGAGGAAAAGAAACCAACAGGGAUUGCCCUAGUAACGGCGAGUGAAGCGGCAAGAGCUCAAAUUUGAAAGCUGGCCCCUUCGGGGUCCGCAUUGUAAUUUGCAGAGGAUGCUUCGGGAGCGGUCCCCAUCUAAGUGCUCUGGAACGGGCCGUCAUAGAGGGUGAGAAUCCCGUAUGGGAUGGGGUGCCCGCGACCAUGUGAAGCUCCUUCGACGAGUCGAGUUGUUUGGGAAUGCAGCUCUAAAUGGGUGGUAAAUUUCAUCUAAAGCUAAAUACUGGCCGGAGACCGAUAGCGCACAAGUAGAGUGAUCGAAAGAUGAAAAGCACUUUGAAAAGAGAGUUAAAAAGCACGUGAAAUUGUUGAAAGGGAAGCGCUUGCGACCAGACUCGCCCGCGGGGUUCAGCCGGUAUUCGUACCGGUGUACUUCCCCGUGGGCGGGCCAGCGUCGGUUUGGGCGGCCGGUCAAAGGCCCUCGGAAUGUAACGCCUCCCGGGGCGUCUUAUAGCCGAGGGUGCCAUGCGGCCAGCCCGGACCGAGGAACGCGCUUCGGCACGGACGCUGGCAUAAUGGUCGUAAGCGACCCGUCUUGAAACACGGACCAAGGAGUCUAACAUCUACGCGAGUGUUCGGGUGUCAAACCCGUGCGCGCAGUGAAAGCGAACGGAGGUGGGAACCCUUUGGGUGCACCAUCGACCGAUCCUGAUGUCUUCGGAUGGAUUUGAGUAGGAGCGUAGCUGUUGGGACCCGAAAGAUGGUGAACUAUGCCUGAAUAGGGCGAAGCCAGAGGAAACUCUGGUGGAGGCUCGCAGCGGUUCUGACGUGCAAAUCGAUCGUCAAAUUUGGGUAUA
rnacentral:sRNA from 1 species